AUUGAACGCUGGCGGCAGGCCUAACACAUGCAAGUCGAACGAGUGGCGGACGGGUGAGUAAUGUCUGGGAAACUGCCUGAUGGAGGGGGAUAACUACUGGAAACGGUAGCUAAUACCGCAUACCAUCAGAUGUGCCCAGGUGGGAUUAGCUUGUUGGUGGGGUACCGGCUCACCAAGGCGACGAUCCCUAGCUGGUCUGAGAGGAUGAACGUCCACACGUGAACUAGGACCCGGUCCAGACUCCGACGGGAGGCAGGAGUGUGGAAUAGUGCACAAUUGGCGCAAGCCUGAUGCAGCCAUGCCGGGUGUAUGAAGAAGACCUUCGGGUUGUAGAGUACUUUCAGCGGGGAGGCGUUACCCGCAGAAGAAGCACCGGCUAACUCCGUGCCAGCAGCCGCGGUAAUAC
rnacentral:rRNA from 1 species